AGAACGAACGCUGGCGGCAUGCCUAACACAUGCAAGUCGAACGGGACCUUCGGGUCUAGUGGCGCACGGGUGCGUAACGCGUGGGAACCUGCCCUUAGGUUCGGAAUAACGCCUCGAAAGGGGUGCUAAUACCGGAUAAUGUCUUCGGACCAAAAAUUUAUUGCCUUUGGAUGGGCCCGCGUUGGAUUAGCUUGUUGGUGGGGUAAAGGCCUACCAAGGCGACGAUCCAUAGCUGGUCUUAGAGGAUGAUCAGCCACACUGGGACUGAGACACGGCCCAGACUCCUACGGGAGGCAGCAGUGGGGAAUAUUGGACAAUGGGCGAAAGCCUGAUCCAGCAAUGCCGCGUGAGUGAUGAAGGCCCUAGGGUUGUAAAGCUCUUUUACCCGGGAUGAUAAUGACAGUACCGGGAGAAUAAGCUCCGGCUAACUCCGUGCCAGCAGCCGC
rnacentral:rRNA from 1 species